rnacentral:rRNA from 1 species
UACGUAGGGCGCAAGCGUUGUCCGGAAUUAUUGGGCGUAAAGAGCUCGUAGGCGGCUUGUCACGUCGGAUGUGAAAGCCCGGGGCUUAACCCCGGGUCUGCAUUCGAUACGGGCUAGCUAGAGUGUGGUAGGGGAGAUCGGAAUUCCUGGUGUAGCGGUGAAAUGCGCAGAUAUCAGGAGGAACACCAGUGGCGAAGGCGGUGCUCUGGGCCGGAACUGACGCUGAGGAGCGAAAGCGUGGGGAGCAAACAGG